rnacentral:lncRNA from 8 species
GCUGCCAGAGCUGUCCGCCAGUCAAGAGUCGCCAGAGCUGUCCGCCAGUCAAGAGUCGCCAGAGCUGUCCGCCAGUCAAGAGUCGCCAGAGCUGUCCGCCAGUCAAGAGUCGCCAGAGCUGUCCGCCAGUCAAGAGUCGCCAGAGCUGUCCGCCAGAGUGCUGCCAGAGUGCCCUGCCUGUUCGGAGCUGCCAGAGUGCCCUGCCUGUUCGGGGCUGCCAGAGUGCCCUGCCUGUUCGGAGCUGCCAGAGUGGCCCGUCAGUCAGGAUCGCCCGAGUGGCCCGCCUGUCCUCCGGCCCAGCCCGAGUGGCCCGCCUGUCCUCCGGCCCAGCCCGAGUGGCCCGCCUGUCCUCCGGCCCAGCCCGAGUGGCCCGCCUGUCCUCCGGCCCAGCCCGAGUGGCCCGCCUGUCCUCCGGCCCAGCCCGAGUGGACCGCCUGUCCUCUGGACCAGCCCGAGUGGCCCGCCUGUCCUCUGGACCAGCCCGAGUGGUCCGCCUGUCCUCCGGCCCAGCCAGAGUGGUCCGUCUGCCAGGGUCAGCCCGAGUGGCCCGUCUGUCCGGCGCAGCUAUCGGCACCACCGAAGUGGGCGACGCCGAAGGUGGAGCAGGGUCCACGUCCCGCACCUGAGCCACCUCCAGGAUAGGUGGGUUGGGGAGGGAGGGUGUAGCACAGUGCCGUCGUUGACGGCAGCCACCCUCCCUUCCCUCCCUUAUUGUUUAGGGGGUAUUGUUUAUUGGUUUUGUUGGGGUAUUGGGGAUUUUUGUGUUUUCUUUUUUUAAGGUGCAUUCCAGGGUCUGCACCUUGAGGGGGGGGUACUGUCAUGUCCUGACCAGCAGAGGGCGUAAUUGUAUUAGUUUUGGUCAGGACGUGGCAGAAGUUUUGUGUUAUGUGUUAGUUAAUUGGGGUUGGACUCCCAAUUGAAGGCAGGUGUGUUGAGUUGCCUUUGAUUGGGAGUCCUAUAUAGUAGUGUGUGUUUUUCCUUGGGGUUGUGGGUAAUUGUUUCUUGUUUAGUGUGUUUGCACCUGACAGGACUGUUGGCUGUCAGUUUCCUUGUUUUGUUUGUUAUAGUGUUCUUUCUAAUUAAAUUGAAAGAUGAAUACUAACUCCGCU